AUUGAACGCUGGCGGCAUGCUUUACACAUGCAAGUCGAACGGCAGCACGGGGGCAACCCUGGUGGCGAGUGGCGAACGGGUGAGUAAUGCAUCGGAACGUGUCCUUAAGUGGGGAAUAACGCAUCGAAAGAUGUGCUAAUACCGCAUAAACUCCAAGGAGAAAAGCAGGGGAUCGUAAGACCUUGCGCUAAAGGAGCGGCCGAUGCCUGAUUAGCUAGUUGGUGGGGUAAAAGCCUACCAAGGCUACGAUCAGUAGUUGGUCUGAGAGGACGACCAACCACACUGGGACUGAGACACGGCCCAGACUCCUACGGGAGGCAG
rnacentral:rRNA from 1 species